AACUCUCAACAACGGAUAUCUUGGCUCCCGUAACGAUGAAGAACGCAGCGAAAUGCGAUACGUAGUGUGAAUUGCAGAAUUCCGUGAACCAUCGAAUCUUUGAACGCAAAUUGCGCUUGAGGCUUCGGCCAAGAGCAUGUCUGGCUCAGCGUCGG
rnacentral:rRNA from 1 species